GAUGAACGCUGGCGGCGUGCCUAAUACAUGCAAGUCGAGCGAGGUAGAAUAGAAAGCUUGCUUUCUAUUCUACCUAGCGGCGGACGGGUGAGUAACACGUGGGGAACCUGCCCUUUAGAUUGGGAUAACAUCAGGAAACUGGUGCUAAUACCGAAUAGGAGAAUUGGUCGCAUGACCGAUUCUGGAAAGGUGGCGUAAGCUACCACUAAAGGAUGGACCCGCGGCGCACUAGCCAGUUGGUGAGGUAACGGCCCACCAAGGCAACGAUGCGUAGCCGACCUGAGAGGGUGAUCGGCCACACUGGGACUGAGACACGGCCCAGACUCCUACGGGAGGCAGCAGUAGGGAAUCUUCGGCAAUGGGCGAAAGCCUGACCGAGCAACGCCGCGUGAGUGAAGAAGGUUUUCGGAUCGUAAAACUCUGUUGUUAGGGAAGAACAGCAGGUAGUUAAAUAAGCUAUCUGUGUGACGGUACCUAACUAGAAAGCCACGGCUAACUACGUGCCAGCAGCCGCGGUAAUACGUAGGUGGCAAGCGUUAUCCGGGAUUAUUGGGCGUAAAGCGCGCGCAGGCGGUUCUUUAAGUCUGAUGUGAAAGCCCCCGGCUCAACCGGGGAAGGUCAUUGGAAACUGGGGAACUUGAGUGCAGAAGAGAAGAGUGGAAUUCCAUGUGUAGCGGUGAAAUGCGUAGAGAUGUGGAGGAACGCCAGUGGCGAAGCGACUCUUUGGUCUGUAACUGACGCUGAGGCGCGAAAGCGUGGGGAGCAACAGGAUUAGAUACCCUGGUAGUCCACGCUGUAACGAUGAGUGCUAAGUGUUAGGGGUUUCUGCCCCUUAGUGCUGCAGCUACGCAUAGCACUCCGNUGGG
rnacentral:rRNA from 1 species